CCCUCUUCAAAGAUGCGGAGAAUGUCACGGUAGGUUGUGACUCCCAGGGUGUUAAAGCAAAAGCUGCAAGUACUCUUGCCUCCUUGUUCCACAGAUAAACAAGAACGGGCCCAGCUCCUAUCACUCAGAAAGGGUUUCAGCUGGAACUGCAUGUCCUCAGCCUGAAUCAACCAGGGAAGGGAGAAACUGGGGAUUUGGAGGGAGAUGAACUGACGGUGGCAUUCAGAUGUCUCCCGUGGCAGGCAUCUUCCACGUGGCAUCCCAGCAAUUUGGACCGCGUACCUUGCAUACGUGCUGCUUUGACCAUAUGGCUAUGAGGUAAGGUGCAAAAGGAGGUGAAGAUUCACAUACUAGCUUUUACGUCAAAAUAGU
rnacentral:lncRNA from 1 species